GUGGGCAAUCUGCCCUUCACUCUGGGACAAGCCCUGGAAACGGGGUCUAAUACCGGAUACUGACCCUUGCAGGCAUCUGCGAGGUUCGAAAGCUCCGGCGGUGAAGGAUGAGCCCGCGGCCUAUCAGCUUGUUGGUGAGGUAAUGGCUCACCAAGGCGACGACGGGUAGCCGGCCUGAGAGGGCGACCGGCCACACUGGGACUGAGACACGGCCCAGACUCCUACGGGAGGCAGCAGUGGGGAAUAUUGCACAAUGGGCGAAAGCCUGAUGCAGCGACGCCGCGUGAGGGAUGACGGCCUUCGGGUUGUAAACCUCUUUCAGCAGGGAAGAAGCGAAAGUGACGGUACCUGCAGAAGAAGCGCCGGCUAACUACGUGCCAGCAGCCGCGGUAAUACGUAGGGCGCAAGCGUUGUCCGGAAUUAUUGGGCGUAAAGAGCUCGUAGGCGGCUUGUCACGUCGGUUG
rnacentral:rRNA from 1 species